rnacentral:rRNA from 1 species
UACAGAGGGUGCAAGCGUUAAUCGGAAUUACUGGGCGUAAAGCGUGUGUAGGUGGUUUUCUAAGUCAGGUGUGAAAUCCCCAGGCUCAACCUGGGAACUGCAUUUGAUACUGGAAGACUAGAGUGUGGUAGAGGAUAGUGGAAUUCCCGGUGUAGCGGUGAAAUGCGUAGAGAUGUGGAGGAACACCGAUGGCGAAGGCAGCCCCCUGGGCUAACACUGACGCUCAUGCACGAAAGCGUGGGGAGCAAACAGG